CGGACCAUACGCACCUGGGCUCCUAUUUCACAUCGUGCUUUUUUCGUUACAUUAUGGAAAAUUAUUCAAAUCAUCAUCACAUGUGAUUCAUUAAUCGAUGAUUAAAAAAACAUUUAAAUCAAUUUGCUUGCUAAUUUUGAUAAAAACAAACAAACUAAUCGUAAACGAUUCGUACGUGAAUUUCAACAUUCAAAAUGAAAGCCGAUUUGAAGCAAGUCCAAGCGCCAACUUAUUGAACACUCGAUAUUUAUUUUAACAUCAAACCGAGAAUCGUCAACGUUUUUUUGUUUGUUUAAAAUAGAUUGAACUUUGAGAGAAUGAAGGAGCGAUAUAGAGAGAAAAUGCCAUAGAACAUAUUCCGUCGCGACAAGAUAAAAAUAUCAAAUUUCGGCAACCACCGAUUUUUAUGGCAUACACGAAAGAUAUCCAAUAACGGUGCGGACACUUCAUGGUUUACAUACAAGAACUGGAUUGAAGAGAACUGCACGAAAUGCGAUCGCUCACAUUGGCCACAAAUUUAACCGUACGCAUGACCUUCUCAACGAUGAAGGAAAAAAAGUUAAUAGGACAAGAUAACGCAUUUAAAGCGUGUCUAUUGACCUCAUAUUGGUGCAGGCGCCAAAAAUGUGUGCAACUGUAUUUGCAUUGACAUUGACUGAACACAUUUUAUUUAACAACCAGAUAAAAUUUGCUGAAAGCCAAGUCACUCUUUACUUAACUGGUGGUAAACAACAUUUUUUUGCAUAUCUGUAGAACACAUUGGCAGCGACUUUAAAACAAUGAGACAGUAAAUGUGCAGCUAUGAUCGACGCCAAAAUUGAAUAAAAAGCGUGAUGUUUUCCAGAGAGAAUACAAGUUAUCUGGUUGAUUUUGAAUCGGUUGGAUCGCAUCAAAUCGAGUAAUAAUACCAAAACAGUUUUUAAGACGAAAAAAAAAUGAAAAUACUUAUCAUCGCUUUCAUGGUAAUCAUACCAAUCCAGAUGGUCAUUUCGAAACCAAACCCUCACGAUAUUUUUACCGGGGUGAAAGUCGUUUACAGUGUACCAGAUGGAGUUGUUGACUAUCUGGUUAAGGAAACCGAAGGUACCCCCAUUGCUACAGUUUUGAAUGUUGAGGAUACAUUUGGAGAUAAGGUGUUUGAUUCACCAGAUCAAUCAUGAAUUAUUGACAUUCUUAUUUUCAUUUAUUUUUAUGCGAAGAAAAAAAUGUUUCAAUUUCAAAUAGAUAAUGAUUUUCGGAAUUUGUAUGAAAUCCAACCGAUUUCAAUCAACUGGUACCAGUCAACUUUUUGACUUGCAGUCGACUGGAAAUGGAACAAAAAUGAAAAGAAAAAUACAGUUGAAUUCAGUCGCAUUAAGUCGUUUUAAGUCAAAUAUAAUUUAAAUCAACUUAAAGUGACUUGAGUCGAGUGGAUUUUCUUCAUUUUUGUUCCAUUUCCAAUCGAUUUGAAACGACUGCAAGUCGAAAAAACUAAAUCGACU